rnacentral:rRNA from 1 species
GACGAACGCUGGCGGCGUGCUUAACACAUGCAAGUCGAACGGAAAGGCCCUGCUUUUGUGGGGUGCUCGAGUGGCGAACGGGUGAGUAACACGUGAGUAACCUGCCCUUGACUUUGGGAUAACUUCAGGAAACUGGGGCUAAUACCGGAUAGGAGCUCCUGCUGCAUGGUGGGGGUUGGAAAGUUUCGGCGGUUGGGGAUGGACUCGCGGCUUAUCAGCUUGUUGGUGGGGUAGUGGCUUACCAAGGCUUUGACGGGUAGCCGGCCUGAGAGGGUGACCGGCCACAUUGGGACUGCGGUACGGCCCAGACUCCUACGGGAGGCAGCAGUGGGGAAUAUUGCACAGUGGGCGGAAGCCUGAUGCAGCGACGCCGCGUGCGGGAUGACGGCCUUCGGGUUGUAAACCGCUUUCGCCUGUGACGAAGCGUGAGUGACGGUAAUGGGUAAAGAAGCACCGGCUAACUACGUG